rnacentral:lncRNA from 1 species
GAAGUUGACAGAAUUAGUUAGUACUGCAACUUGAUGGCAGGAAGUUGACAGAAUUAGUUAGUGCUGCAACUUGAUGGCAGGAAGUUGACAGAAUUAGUUAGUACUGCAACUUGAUGGCAGGAAGUUGACAGAAUUAGUUAGUACUGCAACUUGAUGGCAGGAAGUUGACAGAAUUAGUUAGUGCUGCAACUUGAUGGCAGGAAGUUGACAGAAUUAGUUAGUGCUGCAACUUGAUGGCAGGAAGUUGACAGAAUUAGUUAGUACUGCAACUUGAUGGCAGGAAGUUGACAGAAUUAGUUAGUACUGCAACUUGAUGGCAGGAAGUUGACAGAAUUAGUUAGUGCUGCAACUUGAUGGCAGGAAGUUGACAGAAUUAGUUAGUGCCGCAACUUGAUGGCAGGAAGUUGACAGAAUUAGUUAGUACUGCAACUUGAUGGCAGGAAGUUGACAGAAUUAGUUAGUGCUGCAACUUGAUGGCAGGAAGUUGACAGAAUUAGUUAGUACUGCAACUUGAUGGCAGGAAGUUGACAGAAUUAGUUAGUGCUGCAACUUGACGUGUGAUCAAAGUGUACCUACCGAGCGAGAGUCAAAACAGACGACACAUCAAUAAUUAAUAACAUCAUUGCUAUCUAGAAAGGACAGCUUUCUAACAGGUUGAAGUGGAUCGCCCUGAAGUGUGUUUUCAGGUGCACUUGGACACAGAGAGUUCAGCUAGCUAUCUGAGACAGCUAAUUAUGUCCACAAGGGUGGUUUCCAAGGCACACCUGGGUUCAGAUCCUACUUGAAAUCUUUCAAUUUACUUUGAGCGUUUGCUUUAGCCUGUCUAGAGUGCCAGGUAGCUCGGGGUUAGCAUUUUGAAGAUUUUCCUAUUCGUUAUUUUGCAACACGCAAGCUCAAUCAAGCACUUGACACAGUAUUUUAAAAAUAUUUGAACCCAGGUGUGUUUCUAAGGUUGUCUGUGUAUAUGAGAGCUUUAAGACUGUUAAGAGCUGCAGGCUGGAACUAACACACCUGGAGGUUCAAUGCCUCCAUCUCAAGACCCAGAACACCUCUGGUCUCAGUACUGAAAGCACUUUAACCCUGGGGCUGUCCUCGGGGUAAAAAAGCUAUGGGUUGUCUGAAACGGCACCCUAUUCCCUAUUUAUAGUGCACUACUUGUGACCAAAGCUCUAUGGGUUCUGAUUAAAAGGAGUGCACACUAACAGGGAUUAGGGUGCCGUUUGGGACAAACAUUUCGUUUUUUUUCUACCCAACCACAAUGUACCACAGGACUCAUCUGGUCCAGGCCAGCAGCCGGUCCAGCCCAGCAGCCGGUCCAGCCCAGCAGCCGGUCCAGGCCAGCAGCCGGUCCAGCCCAGCAGCCGGUCCAGCCCAGCAGUCGGUCCAGCCCAGCAGUCGAUGUGUUAAAAAGGAGAACAUGUUUUAGUAAUGUCCUGUUUUUUAAGCAUCCAUAUCUCUUCUCACUAGGAACACUUUUCCUUCUCUGCCCUCAGAGCAUUCUUUCAAGGUAGAAAUACACUGAGAAAUACUGCUGAAACAAAAAACACACAUUACUAAAAGAAAACAAUAUUAUUAUGGAUGACAGACUGUUGUAUUCCUCUACAGUAAAUCAAAUAAAAUAAAAAAUACAAGUAAUUCAUGUCAAAUAAAAAUCAUUUUUUCAAACAUAGUCUGCCUUUAUUCCCUUAAGUUUUGUUCAAGAACAACGAGUAGUGAUUAAAGGACGAUAGUUCACAUUGCUGAAUUCAAAUGAUUUUGUUAUACUGUUAUUUUAUAUAGCUAUUUAUUAAAAACAAAAACCAAAGGUAAAAUAAAAUACCGUUCUGUGGUUUAUUAAUACAGACGUUUGAAUGAUUCUUCCACAGUAUGUUCAUCAUCCAGAUGGGAUGUUAGACCUGUUCUGUUAGGACAUCAGGACAGAAAGAGGACAGAUGUUCUGUUAGGACAUCAGGACAGAAAGAGGACAGAUGGGAUGUUAGGACAUCAGGACAGAAAGAGGACAGAUGUUCUGUUAGGACAUCAGGACAGAAAGAGGACAGACGAGAUGUUAGGACAUCAGAACAGAAAGAGGACAGAUGUUCUGUUAGGACAUCAGGACAGAAAGAGGACAGAUGAGAUGUUAGGACAUCAGAACAGAAAGAGGACAGAUGUUCUAGGACAGAUGUUCUGUUAGGACAUCAGAACAGAAAGAGGACAGAUGUUCUGUUAGGACAUCAGGACAGAAAGAGGACAGAUGUUCUGUUAGGACAUCAGGACAGAAAGAGGACAGAUGUUCUGUUAGGACAUCAGGACAGAAAGAGGACAGAUGAGAUGUUAGGACAUCAGAACAGAAAGAGGACAGAUGUUCUGUUAGGACAUCAGGACAGAAAGAGGACAGAUGAGAUGUUAGGACAUCAGAACAGAAAGAGGACAGAUGUUCUGUUAGGACAUCAGGACAGAAAGAGGACAGAUUAGAUGUUAGGACAUCAGAACAGAAAGAGGACAGAUGUUCUGUUAGGACAUCAGGACAGAAAGAGGACAGAUGAGAUGUUAGACCUGUUCUGUUAGGACAUCAGAACAGAAAGAGGACAGAUGAGAUGUUAGGACAUCAGGACAGAAAGAGGACAGAUGUUCUGUUAGGACAUCAGGACAGAAAGAGGACAGAUGAGAUGUUAGGACAUCAGAACAGAAAGAGGACAGAUGUUCUGUU